rnacentral:rRNA from 1 species
UGGGGAAUCUUCCGCAAUGAACGAAAGUCUGACGGAGCAACGCCGCGUGAGUGAAGAAGGUUUUCGGAUCGUAAAACUCUGUCUUUUGGGGCGAACGUGAGUAUGGUGAACAAUCAUAGUCAGUGACGGUACCAAAGGAGGAAGCCACGGCUAACUACGUGCCAGCAGCCGCGGUAAUACGUAGGUGGCAAGCGUUGUCCGGAAUUAUUGGGCGUAAAGAGCGCGUAGGCGGGAUAGUCAGUCUGUUGUAAAAGUGCGGGGCUCAACCCCGUGAUCGCAAUGGAAACAGCUAUUCUUGAGUGCAGGAGAGGAAAGUGGAAUUCCCAGUGUAGCGGUGAAAUGCGUAGAUAUUGGGAGGAACACCAGUGGCGAAGGCGACUUUCUGGACUGUGUCUGACGCUGAGGCGCGAAAGCCAGGGGAGCGAACGGGAUUAGAUACCCCGGUAGUCCUGGCCGUAAACGAUGGGUACUAGGUGUGGGAGGUAUCGACCCCUUCCGUGCCGGAGUUAACGCAAUAAGUACCCCGCCUGGGGAGUACGGUCGCAAGACUGAAACUCAAAUGAAUUGACGGGGUCAUAGCUGUUUCCUG